GUGCUUGCUUAGGAAGCAUAUACAAUAAAAUUGGAAUGAUACAGAGAUUAACAUGGCCCCUGUGCAAGGAUGAAAUGCAAAUAUGUGAAGCACUCCAAUUUUUA